GGCUCCGUAGCCAAGUGGCUAAGGCAAGGGACUGCAACUCCCUGAUCAACGGUUCGAAUCCGUUCGGGGCCUCCA
rnacentral:tRNA from 1 species